rnacentral:rRNA from 1 species
GAUGAACGCUGGCGGCGUGCCUAAUACAUGCAAGUCGAGCGAACGGACGAGAAGCUUGCUUCUCUGAUGUUAGCGGCGGACGGGUGAGUAACACGUGGAUAACCUACCUAUAAGACUGGGAUAACUUCGAGAAACCGGAGCUAAUACCGGAUAAUAUUUUGAACCGCAUGGUUCAAAAGUAAAAGACGGUCUUGCUGUCACUUAUAGAUGGAUCCGCGCUGCAUUAGCUAGUUGGUAAGGUAACGGCUUACCAAGGCAACGAUGCAUAGCCGACCUGAGAGGGUGAUCGGCCACACUGGAACUGAGACACGGUCCAGAGUCCUACGGGAGGCAGCAGUAGGGAAUCUUCCGCAAUGGGCGAAAGCCUGACGGAGCAACGCCGCGUGAGUGAUGAAGGUCUUCGGAUCGUAAAACUCUGUUAUUAGGGAAGAACAUAUGUGUAAGUAACUGUGCACAUCUUGACGGUACCUAAUCAGAAAGCCACGGCUAACUACGUG